GUGGGGAAUUUUGGACAAUGGGCGCAAGCCUGAUCCAGCAAUGCCGCGUGCAGGAAGAAGGCCUUCGGGUUGUAAACUGCUUUUGUACGGAACGAAACGGUCCGGGUUAAUACCCUGGGCUAAUGACGGUACCGUAAGAAUAAGCACCGGCUAACUACGUGCCAGCAGCCGCGGUAAUACGUAGGGUGCAAGCGUUAAUCGGAAUUACUGGGCGUAAAGCGUGCGCAGGCGGUUUUGUAAGACAGGCGUGAAAUCCCCGGGCUCAACCUGGGAAUUGCGCUUGUGACUGCAAGGCUGGAGUGCGGCAGAGGGGGAUGGAAUUCCGCGUGUAGCAGUGAAAUGCGUAGAUAUGCGGAGGAACACCGAUGGCGAAGGCAAUCCCCUGGGCCUGCACUGACGCUCAUGCACGAAAGCGUGGGGAGCAAACAGGAUUAGAUACCCAGUAGUCC
rnacentral:rRNA from 1 species